UUUGCUCAUAUCCAGCAUGAUAAAUGGAGCCUAAAGUAUUAUGUCCAUAACCUGACAUUCUUUAUCUUCAUUCAGAACACUUUAUAAUUUCCUAAUGGGGGAAAACCCCGUAGCACAUAAGUGGGAAAAAAGAUCUGGAUCAUUUAGUAAACCGAACCAAGUGACUCAGAGUCAUUAAAAUGAUUCAUUCCGCACGUCCCCUGUGGCGGGAUCUUGACCGAGCGCGGGAAAAUAUUGUGUCAGUUUUCUCUCAGGCUGUUAGCCUGUUAGCCUACUAGCUAAAGACAUUGACGGUGAUAAAACUUCUCGCUUUAACGAACUUCUGACGCAUAAUAUUUACUCCCGGUGACCCGUUUGGAGAAGGAGAAAUCUAAUCUCAUAAAUGAUGCACACAGAUGAGAGACAUUACAAAAAAAAACAGAUGAUAGAUGGAGGGAAAGAUGAUGAAUUGAAGUCAGUUACAAACGUGAUGUAUCUCAGAGCCACAAAACUGAGGAAGAGAAGAUCAGGAGAGAUGGAGGGAGCAAGUGAGAAAAACAGAAGUGAAAAUCAGAAAGAGAGAAAGUGGAGGCCCAAAAAAAGAGGGAAGGACAAAGGAACAGAUGAGUCAGGUGAUGAAGGAACAUCUGGAGAGAAGACAGCAAGGAAAGGAUGGGAGGAUGAAAAGAGACAGAAAGUGAAAGGGAGACGGAUUAUAAAGAAAAGCAGAGACAGCAAGCAGCAGUUUGGUCUGGUUCGGACUCUCAUCACACACAGAGAGACAGACAGGAAGAAGUGUCAAGAAGAGAAGGAUCAGAGGGAUGAGACCAGUGAUGGGGAUCAGCAUGUCAUGUGGGUGCAAUGUAGCAAGCCUGAAUGUGGUAAAUGGAGAAGGCUGAGUGAUGCUGUUGAUCCUUCAGUUUUGCCUGAUGACUGGACCUGCCAAAACAACACAGACAGCACCUUCAGCAGUUGUUCAGCUCCAGAAGAGAAGUCCAGUGCGCCUGAGGAGGAGACGUUCUUUUACAGUCUGGUGCCUGGAUCACUGGUUUGGGCCCAGCAAAGUGGCUAUUCCUGGUGGCCCGCACUUGUAGAGCGAGAUCCAAACACAGAGCAAUAUUUGGAAUUCUGCUCAGAGACCGAUCUCACUCCGUAUAAGUGCCAUGUAACAUAUUUUGGAGAACCAGUGACUCGGGCCUGGGUCUCCUGCAACAAAGUGAGGGACUACGCAGACCACCCUGAGGGUACAGAAGCGCCUGAAAGAUUCCAUCUGUAUGGCCAAGGAAGCGCUCCACUUGUCUCUGAAGGAGCGCUUAGUAAAGUUUGGGUUUCGUAUGCGUUAUGUGUCAGACAGAGAGAGCUCAGAGGACAGUGAUAUCGCAGAGAUAUUGGAGCUGUUUUGUGGGAAGGCUGGAAAUGACUAGCAAUGAGAAAGAAAGUGAGAAGGGAAGAGGAGCAGUCAGUCACUCUGGAUAAGUGUGUCUGCUAAAUGCUGUAAAUGUAAAGGAAAAGAAAAGAAUUGUUGCACUCCUACAAGAAACAGCACAUAAAAGCAGACCAGACAGUGCCUCGGGGUGCCAUGAAAACAAGCACUGACAUGACCUUUGACCGAGACAGUCAUUCUGAUGGAGAGCUUUAAGGAGAGAAAGAGAGAGGGGGAAGUGUAGAGCAACAGGAUGAGAAUGAAGAUGAUGAAGAAUACAAGGAUGUGCAUGACAGGGAGGAGGAGGAGAACAAGAAAGAGCAGGACGCUUCUCCCUCAGGUUGCUGGAAGUAGAGUAAGGACUAAACACACAAGUGUGUUAGAUUUGGGAUGUGUGCUUUAUUUCUGGGUAAUAACACUAACACAUUCUCUCACUAUGUUCCAAACCACACUAGUGUACUUUAUAUUGUAGUGCACUUUGUUCUCAUGCUGCGAUUUAAGAAAGUUUUAUUUUAUAAUGAAUGUUUCUGUUACUGUUAGGAAUUAACUUUAUUUAAUGCAAUGUCAAUAAAAUCCAGUUUGUGUA